UUACCGGACGGCAAACACGAUGAAUCUGCCGAUCAUUUAGUCGGGAAGU
rnacentral:tRNA from 1 species